UGCUUACCAUGCAGUCGACGGUAACAGAGAGUAGCUUGCUACUCUGCUGACGAGUGGCGCACGGGUGAGUAAUAUAUAGAUAAUGUGCCUUUUAGUCGGGGAUAGCCAUUGGAAACGAUGAUUAAUACUGGAUACUCCUUCUAACUCUAAUGUUAGUCGGGAAAGUUUUUCGCUAAAAGAUCGGUCUAUAUCCCAUCAGUUAGUUGGUAAGGUAACGGCUUACCAAGGCAAUGACGGGUAGCGGGUUUGAGAGGAUGAUCCGCCACACUGGUACUGAGACACGGACCAGACUCCUACGGGAGGCAGCAGUGAGGAAUAUUGCACAAUGGGGGAAACCCUGAUGCAGCAACGCCGCGUGGAGGAUGACGCAUUUCGGUGUGUAAACUCCUUUUAUAUGUCAAGAAAAUGACGGUAGCAUAUGAAUAAGCACCGGCUAACUCCGUGCCAGCAGCCGCGGUAAUACGGAGGGUGCAAGCGUUAUUCGGAAUCACUGGGCGUAAAGGACGCGUAGGCGGGUUGGUAAGUCAGAUGUGAAAUCCUACAGCUUAACUGUAGAACUGCAUUUGAAACUACUAACCUAGAGUAUGGGAGGGGGAGAUGGAAUUAGUGGUGUAGGGGUAAAAUCCG
rnacentral:rRNA from 1 species